rnacentral:rRNA from 1 species
CCUACGGGUGGCAGCAGUAGGGAAUAUUGCUCAAUGGGGGAAACCCUGAAGCAGCAACGCCGCGUGGGGGAUGAAGGUUUUAGGUUUGUAAACUCCUUUUGUGAGAGAAGAUAAUGACGGUAUCUCACGAAUAAGCACCGGCUAACUCCGUGCCAGCAGCCGCGGUAAUACGGAGGGUGCAAGCGUUAUCCGGAUUUACUGGGCGUAAAGGGUGCGUAGGCGGGCGUGAAAGUCUGAUGUGAAAGGCUGUAGCUUAACUACAGAACUGCACUUGAAACUAUACGUCUGGAGUGCAGGAGAGGUAGGUGGAAUUCGUAGUGUAGGGGUGAAAUGCGUAGAUAUUAGGAGGAACACUCGUGGCGAAGGCGGCUUACUGGAAUGUAACUGACGUUGAGGCUCGAAAGCGUGGGGAGCAAACAGGAUUAGAUACCCCAGUAGUC